rnacentral:rRNA from 1 species
UAGCGAUACGUCUUUAGCGGCGAACGGGUGAGUAACGCGUUGGUGACCUGCCUCGAAGCGUGGGAUAACAGUUCGAAAGGAUUGCUAAUACCGCAUGUGGUUGAAGAGAUUAGAGGCUCAACAACUAAAGGAGAAAUUCACUUCGAGAGGGGCCUGCGUCCCAUCAGCUAGUUGGUAAGGUAACGGCUUACCAAGGCGAUGACGGGUAGGGGACCUGAGAGGGUGGCCCCCCACAAUGGAACUGAAACACGGUCCAUACACCUACGGGUGGCAGCAGUAGGGAAUAUUGCAUAAUGGGCGAAAGCCUGAUGCAGCAACGCCGCGUGUGCGAUGAAGGCCUUCGGGUCGUAAAGCACUUUUCGAGAGGAUGAGGAAGGACAGUACUCUUGGAAUAAGCCUCGGCUAACUCCGUGCCAGCAGCCGCGGUAAUACGGAGGGUCCAAGCGUUGUCCGGAUUUAUUGGGUGUAAAGGGUGUGUAGGCGGGUUUGCAAGUCAGAGGUGAAAUCCUGCGGCUCAACCGUAGAAUUGCCUCUGAUACUGCAGGUCUUGAGUCCUGGAGAGGUUGUCGGAAUUCGUGGUGUAGCGGUGAAAUGCGUAGAUAUCACGAGGAACACCGGUUACGUAGGUGGGCAACUGGACAGGUACUGACGCUGAGGCACGAAAGCGUGGGGAGCAAACAGGAUUAGAUACCCUGGUAGUCCACGCUGUAAACGAUGGACACUCGGUGUCGCUGAUUCGUCGGCGGUGCCUAAGCGAACGCAUUAAGUGUCCCACCUGGGGAGUACGCUCGCAAGGGUGAAACUCAAAGGAAUUGACGGGGGCCCGCACAAGCGGUGGAGUAUGUGGUUUAAUUCGAGGCAACGCGAAGAACCUUACCUGGGUUUGACAUGCAUAGGACGGCUGGUGAAAGCUAGUUUUCCUUCGGGACCUAUG